UCUAUCAUGGACCAGGAAGAGGAAAAUAUUUAUUAAAUGGCGCCGUCUGUGGGAAACGAAGGAGAUCUUUUCAUCACCGGAGUUUUCACUUUCAAAACCCACUGAGAUCCACAAUGGCAAACCACCAAGAAAAUAACCUUAACGUCAUUCCAAAUAAUCUGAGCUCUGCCCAAGAGGGGCAGCGGUUCUUAUUUUCCAGUCCUACAACUCCAAACAACCNNNNN
rnacentral:lncRNA from 1 species